ACGGAGGGUGCAAGCGUUAUCCGGAAUCAUUGGGUUUAAAGGGUCCGUAGGCGGACUAAUAAGUCAGAGGUGAAAUCCCGCAGCUCAACUGUGGAACUGCCUUUGAAACUGUUAGUCUUGAGUUAUUGUGAAGUGGUUAGAAUAUGUAGUGUAGCGGUGAAAUGCUUAGAGAUUACAUGGAAUACCGAUUGCGAAGGCAGAUCACUAACAAUAUACUGACGCUGAUGGACGAAAGCGUGGGGAGCGAACAGG
rnacentral:rRNA from 1 species